rnacentral:rRNA from 10 species
ACAAAUGGUCAUAUCACUCUGAACACACCUGAUCUCUUCUGAUCAUAGGACUAAGCAGGGUUGGGCCUGGGUAGUACUUGGAUGGGAGAGUCAAUAUUUUUA